AGAGUAUCUAUCCGGAACCUGGUCCAUGGAAGCAGAAAACAUGAUCCAGCCUCAACUAACCCAGAUAGCUGUCUUGAACAGUACCUGUGUCGAUCCCGUGACUUUGGGUUAAUUCACUGAUUGGAUAUCUUCUGCUUUUUCCUUUUUUAAGGAAUGGGUGGGAGUGAGCAUUUUUGGUGCAAUGUGUUGCUUCAGUGUUGUACUUUGUUUGUGGCUUCUCUGUCGCCUUAAAACUCGC
rnacentral:lncRNA from 1 species